AAAUUGAAGAGUUUGAUCAUGGCUCAGAUUGAACGCUGGCGGCAGGCCUAACACAUGCAAGUCGAACGGUAACAGGAAGCAGCUUGCUGCUUUGCUGACGAGUGGCGGACGGGUGAGGACGG
rnacentral:rRNA from 1 species